UACGUAGGGUGCAAGCGUUGUCCGGAAUUAUUGGGCGUAAAGAGCUCGUAGGCGGUUUGUCGCGUCUGCUGUGAAAACUCGGGGCUUAACUCCGGGCCUGCAGUGGGUACGGGCAGACUAGAGUGCGGUAGGGGAGACUGGGAAUUCCUGGUGUAGCGGUGAAAUGCGCAGAUAUCAGGAGGAACACCGGUGGCGAAGGCGGGUCUCUGGACAGUUCCUGACGCUGAGGCACGAAGGUCAGGGGAGCAAACGGG
rnacentral:rRNA from 1 species